rnacentral:rRNA from 1 species
UACAGAGGUCCCGAGCGUUGUCCGGAAUCACUGGGCGUAAAGGGCGCGUAGGUGGCGCAGGACGUCAACGGUGAAAGUUCGGGGCUCAACCCUGAAUCGGCCGUCGAUACUCCUGGGCUCGAGCACUGUAGAGGCAGAUGGAAUUCCGGGUGUAGCGGUGGAAUGCGUAGAGAUCCGGAGGAACACCAAUGGCGAAGGCAGCUCGCUGGGACGGUACUGACGCUGAGACGCGAAAGCGUGGGGAGCAAACAGG